UACGUAGGGGGCAAGCGUUGUGCCGAAUUACUGGGCGUAAAGCGUACGUAGGCGGAUCAGAAAGUUAGGGGUGAAAUCACGAGGCUCAACCUCGGAACUGCCUCUAAAACUCCUGGUCUUGAGUUCGAGAGAGGUGAGUGGAAUUCCAAGUGUAGAGGUGAAAUUCGUAGAUAUUUGGAGGAACACCAGUGGCGAAGGCGGCUCUCUGGCUCGAUACUGACGCUGAGGUACGAAAGUGUGGGGAGCAAACAGG
rnacentral:misc_RNA from 1 species